UACGUAGGUUGCAAGCGUUAUCCGGAAUUAUUGGGCGUAAAGCGUGCGCAGGCUGAUUGUUAAGUUGGAUGUUAAAUCCCUGAGCUCAACUCAGGUUUGGUGUCCAAAACUGGCAAUCUAGAGAGAGGCAGAGGUAAGUGGAAUUCUGUAUGUAGGGGUAAUAUCCGUAGAUAUACAGAGGAACACCAAAAGCGAAGGCAGCUUACUGGGCCUUUUCUGACGCUCAUGCACGAAAGCGUGGGGAGCAAACGGG
rnacentral:rRNA from 1 species